UACGGAGGGUGCAAGCGUUGUUCGGAUUUAUUGGGCGUAAAGCGCGUGUAGGCGGUUUCUUAAGUCUGAUGUGAAAGCCCUGGGCUCAACCCAGGAAGUGCAUUGGAUACUGGGAGACUUGAAUACGGGAGAGGGUAGUGGAAUUCCUAGUGUAGGAGUGAAAUCCGUAGAUAUCAGGAGGAACACCGGUGGCGAAGGCGGCUAUCUGGACAGAAACUUACGCUGAGGCGCGAAAGCUAGGGGAGCAAACAGG
rnacentral:rRNA from 1 species